GCAGUAACAUUCCAGCCAAUCAGCAGCAGACUCUCCCUCCCAGACCCUUCCACCUCCUGGACAGCAUCCAUUGUGAAGCUGCAUUCUUAGUGAGCUGUGCAGGAGCUGGGAGGGUCUGGGAGGGAGGGUCUGCUGCUGAUUGGCUGGAAUGUGUCUG